UACGUAGGGGGCAGGCGUUAUCCGGAUUUACUGGGCGUAAAGCGCGUUCAGGCGGUUUGGCAAGUCGGGCAUGAAAUCUCUCGGCUCAACCGGGAGAGGUUGUCCGAUACUGCUGGACUUGAGGGCAGUAGAGGGUGGUGGAAUUCCGGGUGUAGUGGUGAAAUGCGUAGAUAUCCGGAGGAACACCAGUGGCGAAAGCGGCCACCUGGACUGUACCUGACGCUGACACGCGAAAGCUAGGGGAGCGAACGGG
rnacentral:rRNA from 1 species